GGUGGAAGCGAUAGCUGAGUGGCUGCGGCUACUGAUUGUGUUCUAAGGAGACGGAGUGGGGGAAGACAUUUGCUCUCCCGGAACAGCCUAUCUCAUCCCUUUCCUUCGAUUACACGUGGCACGGAGAGUCAGGGUGGCAGCUGUGGUAGCUGCAGUGACAUGUCCAGCAUGAAUCCCGAAUAUGAUUAUUUAUUCAAGUUACUUCUCAUUGGUGACUCUGGGGUUGGAAAGUCUUGCCUUCUUCUUAGGUUUGCAGAUGACACAUAUACAGAAAGCUACAUCAGUACAAUUGGCAUGGAUUUCAAAAUAAGAAUUAUAGAGUUAGAUGGGAAAACAAUCAAGCAUCAAAUAUGGGACACAGCUGGCCAAGAAAGAUUUUGAACAAUCACUUCCAGUUAUUACUAAGCUGUUGAUGGAGCUCAUGGCAUCAUAGUUGUGUAUGAAGUGACAGAUCAGGAGUCCUUCAACAAUGUUAAACAGUGGCUGCAGUGAGAACGUCAACAAAUUGUUGGUAGGGAACAAAUGUGAUCUGACCACAAAGAAAGUAGUAGACUACACAACAGCAAAGAAAUUUGCUGAUUCCCUUGGAAUUCCAUUUUUGGAAACCAGUGCUAAGAAUGCAACCAAUGUAGAACAGUCUUUCAUGAUGAUGGCAGCUGAGAUUAAAAAAGAAUAGGUCCUGGAGCAACAGCUGGUGGUGCAGAGAAGUCCAAUGUUAAAAUUCAGAGCACUCUGGUCAAGCAGUCAGGUGGAGGUUGCUGCUAAAAUUUACCUCCGUCCUUUUCUCACAGCAAUGAAUUUGCAAUCUGAACCCAAGUGAAAAAACAAAAUUGCCUGAAUUGUACUGUAUGUAGCUGCACUACAACAGAUUUUUACUGUCUCCACAAAGGUCAGAGAUUGUAAAUGGCCAAUACUGACUUUUUUUUUAUUCCCUUGACUCAAGACAGCUAACUUCAUUUUCAGAACUGUUUUAAACCUCUGUGUGCUGGUUUAUAAAAUACUGUGUGUAAUCCUUGUUGCUUUCCUGAUACCAGACUGUUUCCCAUGGUUGGUUAGAAUAUAUUUUGUUUUGAUGUUUAUAUUGGUAUGUUUAGAUGUCGGGUUUAGUCUUCUGAAGAUGAAGUUCAGCCAUUUUGUAUCAAACAGCACAUCAGUGUCUAUCACUUUCCAUGCAUAAAGUUUAGUGAGAUGUUAUAUGUAAGACCUGAUUUGCUAGUUCUUCCUUAUAGAGUUAUAAAUGGAAAGAUUACACUAUCUGAUUAAUAGUUUCUUCAUACUCUGCAUAUAAUUUGUGGCUGUAAUUUCUUGCACACUAUGUAAUACAACAACUGAAGAUAUGUUUAAUAAAUAUUGUACUUA